GAUGCAUCUAGGCCACAAGGAACAGAGAGCCCUGCUAAACACGCAGCCAGCCACCUCUAGCCACAGGGCUGCUCGGGAAGCCUAGGAGCUCCUGAAGAAGAGGCCCAUUGUUCUGUUUGGGGGCAGCCCCUCCCAGGGGUUUAUGAAGUGAAGAAGAACUCUGAGGUCACACUGGUCAAACAGCAGACAAUGGGCAACACCCUUCUCCACCAGUGAACAAACAGCUGCCUCCCCAGCACAGCACCGUCGUCCUGAGCACUUGGGGCACCAGGGGAGCCAGCACAGGUGCGGAGAUAGAAUGUGGAUUGGGGGGGGGGUGGGUAGGGGGUGAUGGUGAGCACCAUCACAGGAGAUCAAGGCCAGGGAGAAAGGAGAGCCUCCUGGGUUCAAUUCCCUCCUGUCUGUGGGGUUGUAUGAAGCGACUGGUCUGCAAGCCAGAGGCCAGAGUCAAAGGGCUGUUGGCAGGAAGCCAACACACAGGAGCAAAGGGUGAAAGCCCUCAAGUUUAAAGCCAAGUUGCCUGGCUGAAACCCUGAACUGGACCCCACUCAAGGGAGCAAAGACCACACACCAAUGGGAGGAGCCAUAGGCAGAGACAAGAAGACCAGCCCUUGGAGAAGGAGGUGCACAGGGUCUCUCCAACAUUCCCUAGGCCAUCUGAGGGCCUGGCCAAACAGACGUGGGGGUCUGGCCAGCCCCUGCUGCUGCUCUACGCUCUGUCUCAGCACCAGUAAAUGAUGCCAGCUUCCUCAGGGCAUCCAAGUUUCUUGCCCAAGGCCCCUCAGGCCACCUGUGGUGCCAUGCUAAGCAGUGCCUCCCCUCUAACUGUACCACUACUGCCCCCUUCCACAUUCCCUGUUCCAGUACCUUCUCCUGUGCUCAUCUCAGGAGUAGCCGGAGGGCUGAGUGCCUGGCAAGCUUGUGAGCUUGGAGUGGCAGGCCAAAAGGGCCCCACCUCACUAUCCCUGUUCCGCAGGGACUUAAAUCCACCACAGGAAAUUGCCAGGCUAGAUCAGACACCAGCUGGGAAAGAUGGAUGUGUGAGAGCAGCUCCCUGUUCCACCCACACCCAAAACUCUGACAUUGGCUCCACUGGAAGGCUGGGCCAGAGACCAUGGCCAGCCUUCCUCCCAACCCUUUAUUUGGCCUUAGCCAACCUCCAAUGGUGGUCAGUCCUGGGCUUGCCUGACUAAGCACAUUUGGACAAACCCACUGCGGCUGCCCGAUCUCCUGAGAAGGGUCUAUCAGGAGAGCAGAAUGCAACCGCUCCCCUUGGAUGAGCAGGGCAGCAAGGCAUAUCUGACUAAAGCCCCAGAAGCUUCUCCAUGAUCCUGAGAAAGUCACUGCCCUCGAUCUCCCCCCCAGCAGGUUUCUUCUCCUAUCCACCUGGAAGCCCAGGGCGCAGCAACUCUUAGAGGUGCCCAAAUUAUGGAAUGAAGGCAGCAUCUCACACCUCACUGAGUGACAUGGAAGAUGCUCCAGUGGCCAGGCAGAGGUCUGCCCAUCCUCGCUGGGUGCACAAGGCGCCAGAGCUGGAGGAGGGACGUGGUUCGGUCUGCACCAGGCCAAAGACUCCCUCCCGAGACCUAGAGGAUUCUUAGGUCUGUGCGUGUUCAUGUUAGUAGACCGAGCACAGGUUCAGAGUCAGACAGAUGUCAGGCUGAAUCCUGACACUGUGCCACUUCUAGCUGUGUGCCUUCAGGCAAGUUAACAAACUACUCUGACCUUCAACGUCCUCUUGCAACAAGGGGAUAGUAAUUUCUUACGGGGCUCUGCAAGGAUUAAAUCAUGCCACUUCUUUAACAUGCCUAGCACAUGCCUUCAGGUCAAAUGCUUUACUGAAGUCAACUUUUUCAUAAAAAAAAAAAAAAAAAAAAAAAAAGUUCAAGGUAACACCUCUGGGUCUAUGUUAAAUGCCUUAGGGCAUAAAGGAUUUUUUUUUCCUCCCCAAGACCCUUCCUCAAGGAGAGAGCGAGCUCUGGGCAGAAAACCCUGAACUAGAUCCCAGUGCUGCCACUUACUGGCCUUGUGACCUUACAUAAGUCACUCUAGGCCUCGGUUACCAUACCUGAAAAUUGGAGAUAACACCUCCCAGCCAACUUGGCAAAGGAGAUGACAGGUAUGAGAGCUAUUAAGUACCACAUAAAGUAAUCACAGCAGAGAUAACUUCUCCCUUAACACAUUCUGAGCAGGUGAAAUUUUGGAAAUACCAGAUAUCCCUCAUUAUCUUCCUAGUCAGGGCUCUAGAUCCCAUUUCUCAUCAAUUACCUCUGAUUCUCUGAAACGCCAGCCUAUGGAUUAUUUAAAGAGGUUAAGGGUCACAAUUAUGUUCAGGAAGGCUCUACCCUUACACAAAGAAGAAAGAGAUAACGUAAAGGAAACCAGGCCAAGGAUGCCAGCUUUUCUCUAAGCAUAGGCCUAGUCGGCUUCUCAUUUGCUGUUCCUGGCCAGAGAACUGGGUUGACGAGAAGAGCAGCCAGCCAGGUCAGCGUCUGCCCUCCCGGUUCCCAGCCACUCCAGCGCCCCAUGGUUAUUUUUGGCUGACGCUGCCCCACCACUGCAACCUCAAACCUGCCACCUUACAAGUCGCCACCACCGGGUGAAACGCUCCUCCUUUUCAAGGGCAUGGAGGAGGGAAGCUGGAAGAUCGCCAACUCCGCCUCGACGGGGGCCUGGCUCAGGCAACUCCCACCCCAGGUCCACACCAGGGCACCCGCACCCGGAACUAAAGCACACAGGGACUCCCGGACCAGGGAGCAGCCCGGGCAUUUGUACUGUCAACUUGGGCUGGCCCCUCCCCCGGGCUGGAGCGGCUCCAUCAUCACAACAAAACGCGUUGGAGGCCCGCGGCUCUCGCUCGCGUCCCUUCCAGACGUGCCCUGGGUCUUAGAGACCUGAGCCCCUUCCCCCAUAACCGCCGCCAGUGGCGGCCAGGGGAGACUCCGGGGGCAGGCGGAUGGCCAGCCUGAGCCAGAAUCAAACUCCAGGCCGUGCGGGGAGGAGGAGUCUACAGACCCAGCCUCGAGCCAAGGGUAUGGGAGGGGUCUGAAGGCCCCUCCAGGCUCUCCCAGGUAGGACCCCGACCCCAUUCCACGGGAGGUGCAGGGCCGAAACUGAAUCCCUGCAGGGGCCUCAGAGGCAGCUCAGAUUCCGACACCGCGGGAUCCAGAGGUUGGGGUCUGUGGUGACCGCCCCUCCGGGGGAGAAGCGGCGGGUCAGGGGUGAGAGGUCGGGGCCGCGGCCAGAGGCGGGCCGAGGAGGAGAAAGAAAGAGAGUAGGCCGAGACCGAACCGGCAACUCGGGGACCCGUACCCAGCACGUCCUCUUCACCAACUCACCCCCCGCCGCUGCCGCCGCCGCCGUCGCGGGCCCGGGCCCACACUCACCGUCUCCCAGGAUCCGGCUGCGGCUAGGCCCCACUCCCCGCUCCGAGCGCCUCUUCCGCUUCCGGCUCCGGCCUCCGCCCGCGGCGGCCCCGCCCCUCGCGUGACGCAGCCGUCCCCAGUCCUCGCUCGACCUCGCUCGGUGGUCUGGUCGCUCUAGCCCCCGACUCGAAGGCUCUGGAGGACCCGUCUUCGCCGCCCCGGUCCAGGCGACAGCAGUGGAGACUGGUUCCGGGAGGGCAGAGGGGACGUCCCCGACUGCGGCCCGCCCCCCGCCGUGUCGCGACGCACGUAGGCCCCAGGACUCCGCAAGGGUACCGUCCCGCGCUGCGGGCUUUGGGAGCCCCGACCCGGCCGGGGAUCGUGCCUGCUUCUCGGACCCGACCCCCACCCCCCCGUGCCCGCCAACCCUUUCCGCGCGGAGAAGCGGGCAUUGUUGCGCUGACGCCUCAGUGAAAAUCGGACGGGCCUUGAGCGCCCGCCUGGCCCGGGGACCCCGGAGGGCGCCAGAGAUGACGGAAGUCUGUGUCCCGAGGUUCAGGAAGGCGGUCGCGACUCUCGGUUUUGUGGAAGAAGCAAAUGAGACCUUAUUCUUUGUGUGUGUGGCGGGGCGGGGGGGGAGGUUAAAGACAUGCGGCACGCCCACAUUCCCAUGUGCAUGCAGAGCAGAUUCGCGGAAGAUACCCGAGAGCCACGUCGGCGGGGCUUCUGGAGGCACGGGGUCUGGGGGAAAGGGAGUCUCGUUCUCCCUGAGCGGCGCAGUGAGCGGACUCGCAGUGUGUCUCCGCUUAAUAGACCCCCGCCAGAGGAAAGCCCGCGCCCGGCCGCGGCCAAGCCCCGCUGGCCUUUUUUUGCGAAUCACUCGACGCCCCCUUUGGCCGAGGUCGCGAGGACAGGAUCGCUGAAGCCCCUCCCACCCGCUGCCCCGCCCCUGGUGAGGGCGGGACGACGAGACCCCACUUUUCCACGGGAGAAAAACCGAGGUGUGGUCCUUUGUGGAGACCUCACGGUUUGUGAGAGUUCGCGCCCCAGGGCCCUCGCUAGCGUCGCCCGGCUAAGCGGGAGGCUGCGGCCCCUCACUGCCCCCACCCCACGCCAGGGCCCGAACGGCACGAUGCCCCGCCCCUCCCGGGACGGCUCUGUGAGGGCGGGCCGCCCGCCUUCAGGCCGCGCCCACUCCCCAAUGAGGGCUGGGCACGCCCCUGAUGCGAGGCGUCGUGCCCCCGCCCCCGCAGGCGCCGUGCUUGCGGAGCCACCCCUCCCAGAGGCGCGGUGCUUCACCUCGCCUUCUGUCUCUGGCGUUCCCUUAAACUGACGGCGUGGCUCGAGGGGCUGCUUAAUUCCCCCAAUUCUAUGUUAGAUGCUCUCCCGCCCCCCAUCCGAAGUAAACAACGGAAGCUAGGGGAAAACGGGAGGCUUGCUACGCUAACGCAGCCUCAAGAACGGCUCCCGGUCCCCUUCCAACCAAAGGCACCCGCCCCCCAAUACAGAAAUUCAGGAGGUGCUUCGAUUGUGCUGUGGGUGACCGAGAGCCUUGCUGUCCCCAUUCCCUUAGAAUCCUGCCUCAGGGCUGGAGGCAAUGAGUUGCCAUUCUUGCCCGGCCCCCGUGCUUGGCCACAGGCCGCGGCCACACCAGCCUGCUUUCAUCUGGGGUUUCAUCCACUCACACGAGGUGAAUGGACUCUGUGUCUCCUCCCCGCAUCGCGUCGCGUUGCCCGCGUUUUCCAAGGCUUCCGGAAGCCAGGACCGCGUGGGCCGCUGAGGGUGGAGGAGCUGAGAGGGGAACUCCCGUCUCCAGCCCUGCCCUGGGAGCCAGGUUCUUAAGGGUUAAGCCGGCCCAUCUUCCCACCAUCCCUUUCCAUAUUAGGAACCCAGGAGCCCUGCCUCCCAGUAAGGAAGCCAAUCUCAUUUUCUGAAAUGGAACAGGAGCCAUCUCCCAGCCCCUUCUCCAAAAUCUAAAGUUCAGUAGCUGUCCGUGCCUCAGAUUCUACCAUCAGAGCUUCAUUUUUUUCAUUAGGGCUUGUCUUUUUGUUCCUGAAAGAAAUAACACCUAGAAGAAAAAGAGGCAGAGUAUCAGGCACUUGGAAAAAGAUCUGACCUGAGGUGAAGUAAAGGUAACUCUCCCACCCCCAACCCUCUCACCUCUUCCCUCCAAGGCUGAGAUUUUGGGAACUCGCCUGGGGAGCUCAAGCGAGUGGGUCGUCUCCAGGAGCCUUGCUCCAUGUCUUUCCAGGAACCUUGUUCCACAUCCUCUGACCUUCAAGGACCAGCCUCUUUCCCCAGGCCUCUACCCUUGUGCGCACCAAGUCUUUUUCCGUGUGGGCUGAGAACUGCAGCCUGGUUCAAAGGCCCCAGGGAAAUGCCCCUGCCCUGUGCCGUGCUGCCAGUCACCUGACACCCCCAGCAACUCUUGCCCCUCUUGAUGUCCCUUUUGCCCUGCUGGGCUCCUAGCUCAGCGUGCUGCCCCCUCCCGGCCCCAGCUCCUCUGAUCCCCUCCUUGUCCUGCCCACCCUGACUACCACAUCCAUCUUUGUCUUCUCUGGGGCUGUUAAUUCAUCUUUGAGCCUCGGCUGUAGGGUCACCUGUCUGGAAAGCCUUCCUGGGUGCUCCAAGGGGGGAGUCAGGCUCCCCUUCCCUGCGCUCCCACAGCACUGAGGGCCGUGCCUUCUGCUGCACAGGCUCUGCAAGUUCAACAUCUGGUCUGUGCCACUCCCUACUCCGGCAGACCACGAGCCCUUCCACGACCAAGCCAGGCAGAGUUCGGGUUCUCAGGGGGUGCUGGGGGCUACCGUGGGGAGCGCCUGUUUUUAGUGGGAAGACAGAGCACCCAGCCGGAGGGGAGUUGUGGGUGCUCCCCAGGGCCUGGGAGAGCGGGGCGGUGGCCAGUCCUCAUGGUCCAUUUUGGAGAGGAAAUGUGGAGAGACAGCUCCGGAGGGGCUGCAAGAAUGUGGGUCUGGAGACGGGAGAGGAGAGCGGCAAGGUGUCUGAGGGGAGAGGGCUGGUGGGUGGUAGUGCCAUCCUGAACAGGGGGCGGGUCUGGGAAUGUGAGGAGUGAGCAAGUCACUUAGGGGGUGGGGGAGCUCAGCCCAGUGAUGCUGUCCUCAGUGAGCACCUUCUCCCUGUGCCUGCACAGAGCUGGGGCAGGGUGCCUGGUGCCCAGGGGUGUGGGUAGAGAGACAGUGCUAGGAUUCUGAAGCCCAAACCCUGGAGGUGAAGUGGGUGGGCAUAAGGACAAGUGGAGUGUGCAGCCGCUAUCAACCCCACGAGGCCCCUUAACCAAACUGGUGGGGCCUAGGGCUCAGGGCCCCCACCUUACAGCUGAGGCUAUAGAAGCCAAAGAGGGCACUGAAGCAGUAAUUUGGCUUAAGGGCUCUGACCCCCACAUUAGAGCUAAACUACCAUGUCCCCCAGAUGUUCCCCUGUCCCCUACCAUUUCCAGACUCCCACACUGGGAAGGGGAGCAGCAGGGGUGGGGGAGUGUGGGCCCAGUUCACAGUGGACUCCCUUCAUGACCUUGGGGCAACAGGUGAGCCCUUCUGAGCUUCACCUCCCCCUGCCCAAGAUGGAGAGCGCCAGAUGAGCUUGGUUGUUUAGCAAGUGGCCAGGCCGUGGUCAGCAUCACAGCUCAUAGAAGCUGUUGGAACGGAAAACUUCAGGGGUGCUGAGGCUGGUGUUUAUUUGUAGUCUGAAUCAUCAGGGAAAGGUCGAGGCCAAGUGGUUGGGGUUGACAGGUUUAGGUGCAUGUUCAGCCCCGGGGCCUCAGUUUCCAUGUCUGAAGAGGGGUCUCAGAAGCUGAUGCUCUGGGAAGGCAGGACUGCCCCAACUCCAGGGCUUCCCAUCUAUCCUGCUCUCAGGACCCACACUGAGGCAGAGCCCCGUGGACCUGAUGCCUGGCCCCUUCUGCUCUCCCUGGCACUCCCGUCACUUCUGGCCACUGGACCGUGCCUGCUCACCAAGCCCCACUGAAGGGUGCAAAGCAGCAGCUGGCAGAGGAGGGCAGUGCGAAGAUUUCUGUUCAGUUCCCUCCCCGUCAACAUUUGGGAAGACGCUGCCAUCACCCGGCCUACUCCCCUCCAGGUCCAGAUGGGAAAACAAAGCCAUCUUUGUCCAGGAGGUGCCAGUGCCCCUAAGGAAAGAGCUGGAAAAGGAAGAAUCACAUCCCAGGCUUCAAGAGAAGGUGGCUGAGUGCUGGAAGGCACACUGGCACCAGGUGGUAGUUGCCCUGAAAUUUAAAGAACUGCAGAGACCCCAGACAGAGACCGAGGCCUGGUCUCCCCAGGUGGGCGCUCUCUGCCCACCUUCCUCUCCCUCCCCAUGUGCCCCCUCUCCUCGUUCUCUUCCCCACUGCCCAGUCUUUCCUACUGCGAGCCAUUUAGUGUCUUUCUGCUCUUAGGCUGCCCACUAGCUUUAUCCUACACUUCCUUCCCUUCUCCUGCUUCCUCCUCAUUACGCUCCACCCACCCACCCACCCAUCCAUCCUUCUUUCCAU